rnacentral:rRNA from 1 species
AAUAUUGGUCAAUGGACGCAAGUCUGAACUAGCCACGUCGCGUGAAGGAAGACGGCCCUACGGGUUGUAAACUUCUUUUGUAAGGGAAUAAAAUGUAGUACGCGUACUAUUUUGCAUGUACCUUACGAAUAAGGAUCGGGUAACUCCGUUCCUGCAGCCGCGGUAAUACGGAGGAUCCGAGCGUUAUCCGGAUUUAUUGGGUUUAAAGGGUGCGCAGGCGAGAGAUUAAGUCGGCGGUGAAAUUUUGCAGCUCAACUGUAAAAGUGCCUUCGAAACUGGUUUUCUUGAGUGUGGAUGAAGUAGGCGGAAUUUGUGGUGUAGCGGUGAAAUGCAUAGAUAUCACGAGGAACUCCGAUUGCGCAGGCAGCUUACUAAACUACUACUGACGCUCAGGCACGAAGGCGUGGGGAUCAAACAGG